rfam:Pantoea ananatis LMG 20103, complete genome.
CGUAAUGGUGGCCCGGGCGGGGCAGCCUUCGGGCUGGCCGGUUUCCUUUGUUGCCGGUAUUUCCACCCCCGUCCGGGCUACCACCCUU